UACAGAGGGGGCAAGCUUUGUUCGGAAUUACUGGGCGUAAAGGGCGCGUAGGCGGCCUGUUAAGUCGAACGUGAAAUCCCCGGGCUCAACCCGGGAACUGCGUCCGAUACUGGCAGGCUUGAAUCCGGGAGAGGGAUGCGGAAUUCCAGGUGUAGCGGUGAAAUGCGUAGAUAUCUGGAGGAACACCGGUGGCGAAGGCGGCAUCCUGGACCGGCAUUGACGCUGAGGCGCGAAAGCCAGGGGAGCAAACGGG
rnacentral:rRNA from 1 species